rnacentral:rRNA from 2 species
GCUAAUACAUGCAGUCGACGAACUCUGGUAUUGAUUGGUGCUUGCAUCAUGAUUUACAUUUGAGUGAGUGGCGAACUGGUGAGUAACACGUGGGAAACCUGCCCAGAAGCGGGGGAUAACACCUGGAAACAGAUGCUAAUACCGCAUAACAACUUGGACCGCAUGGUCCGAGUUUGAAAGAUGGCUUCGGCUAUCACUUUUGGAUGGUCCCGCGGCGUAUUAGCUAGAUGGUGGGGUAACGGCUCACCAUGGCAAUGAUACGUAGCCGACCUGAGAGGGUAAUCGGCCACAUUGGGACUGAGACACGGCCCAAACUCCUACGGGAGGCAGCAGUAGGGAAUCUUCCACAAUGGACGAAAGUCUGAUGGAGCAACGCCGCGUGAGUGAAGAAGGGUUUCGGCUCGUAAAACUCUGUUGUUAAAGAAGAACAUAUCUGAGAGUAACUGUUCAGGUAUUGACGGUAUUUAACCAGAAAGCCACGGCUAACUACGUGCCAGCAGCCGCGGUAAUACGUAGGUGGCAAGCGUUGUCCGGAUUUAUUGGGCGUAAAGCGAGCGCAGGCGGUUUUUUAAGUCUGAUGUGAAAGCCUUCGGCUCAACCGAAGAAGUGCAUCGGAAACUGGGAAACUUGAGUGCAGAAGAGGACAGUGGAACUCCAUGUGUAGCGGUGAAAUGCGUAGAUAUAUGGAAGAACACCAGUGGCGAAAGCGGCUGUCUGGUCUGUAACUGACGCUGAGGCUCGAAAGUAUGGGUAGCAAACAGGAUUAGAUACCCUGGUAGUCCAUACCGUAACGAUGAAUGCUAAGUGUUGGAGGGUUUCCGCCCUUCAGUGCUGCAGCUAACGCAUUUAGCAUUCCGCCUGGGGGAGUACGGCCGCAAGGCUGAAACUCAAAGGAUUGACGGGGGCCCGCCACAGCGGUGAGCAUGUGCUUAUUUCGAAGCUACGCGAAGAACUU